rnacentral:rRNA from 2 species
GGCCCAGACUCCUACGGGAGGCAGCAGUGGGGAAUAUUGCACAAUGGGCGAAAGCCUGAUGCAGCGACGCCGCGUGAGGGAUGACGGCCUUCGGGUUGUAAACCUCUUUCAGCAGGGAAGAAGCGAAAGUGACGGUACCUGCAGAAGAAGCGCCGGCUAACUACGUGCCAGCAGCCGCGGUAAUACGUAGGGCGCAAGCGUUGUCCG